AUGGAUUACAGGCCUAUUAGUCUUUGUAAUGUUGUUUAUAAGAUCAUUGCUAAAUCUCUUGCUAACAGGAUUAAACCUCACCUUCCUGAUUAUAUAGAUCCUGCCCAACAGGCUUUCAUUGAGGGUAGAAGAAUUAGUGAUAAUAUUAUAAUUGCUCAAGAGAUAGCUCACUCUUUCUCUCUCAAAUCUUGGAAACAUGAUGCCUUCAUGUUAAAAAUUGAUCUUGCUAAAGCUUUUGAUAGACUUGAGUGGGACUUCAUUGUUCUUGCGCUUACUCGUAAAGGGCUGCAUGCUCAUUUCAUUAACUUAGUGCAUGCAUGCAUCUCUUCUCCCACUUUUUCUGUUCUUAUUAAUGGGCAACCUUCUCGUAAAUUUAAAAGUUUUCGAGAGACUCGACAAGGCUGUCCCAUGUCCCCUUACUUGUUUGUUAUUGCCAUUAAUGAACUUUCGAUUGCUCUUAAUGAGGCGCUUCAGGCUAACCAUUUGCAGGGUAUUUCUCUUGGUCCAAGUUGCCCUUUGGUUCAUUCACUUCUAUUUGCAGAUGACCUUUUGGUUUGUGGUCAGGCCACCCAUCAUGAAGCUCAAACUAUGGCGAAUCUUAUUCGGCAAUUUUGUGAUCUCUCUGGCCAAACUCACAACUGGAGCAAAUCUGCAAUCUUGUUUAGCUCGCAUGUUUCUCAGGCUACUAUUCAAGACAUUAAGCAUAUUUUUUCUGUUUCUAAUCUUGAUGCUAAUUUCACUCAUCUUGGUCAUCCUCUCAUUCUCCCUGCUAAUAAUAGAUUGGCUGCUUACAAUUUUGUGAUAAAUUUUUAA
rnacentral:rRNA from 1 species